GACGCAGUAGGAUAGGCGAAGCGUGCUGUUGGAGUGCACGUCCAAGCAGUGAGAUUGAGUGUUAGGCAAAUCCGGCACUCUUAAGAUUGAGCUGUGAUGGGGAGAGGAACUUGUUCCUCGAGUCGUUGAUUUCACACUGCCGAGAAAAGCCUCUAGCUAGAAUAACGGUGCCCGUACCGCAAACCGACACAGGUAGUCAAGAUGAGAAUUCUAAGGUGAGCGAGCGAACUCUCGUUAAGGAACUCGGCAAAAUGACCCCGUAACUUCGGGAGAAGGGGUGCUCUUUGAGGUUCACGCUUCGAAGAGCCGCAGUGAAUAGGCCCAAGCGACUGUUUAUCAAAAACACAGGUCUCUGCUAAACCGUAAGGUGACGUAUAGGGGCUGACGCCUGCCCGGUGCUGGAAGGUUAAGAGGAGUGGUUAGCGCAAGCGAAGCUACGAAUCGAAGCCCCAGUAAACGGCGGCCGUAACUAUAACGGUCCUAAGGUAGCGAAAUUCCUUGUCGGGUAAGUUCCGACCCGCACGAAAGGCGUAACGAUUUGGGCACUGUCUCAACGAGAGACUCGGUGAAAUCAUAGUACCGGUGAAGAUGCCGGUUACCCGCGACAGGACGGAAAGACCCCGUGGAGCUUUACUGUAGCCUGAUAUUGAAAUUCGGUACAGUUUGUACAGGAUAGGUAGGAGCCUUAGAAGCGUGAGCGCUAGCUUACGUGGAGGCAUUGGUGGGAUACUACCCUAAUUGUAUUGGAUUUCUAACCCGCAGCACUUAUCGUGCUGGGAGACAGUGUCAGGCGGGCAGUUUGACUGGGGCGGUCGCCUCCUAAAGAGUAACGG
rnacentral:rRNA from 1 species